rnacentral:tRNA from 1 species
GGAGAGAUGUCCGAGCGGUUGAAGGAGGCGGUCUUGAAAACCGUUGUGCCGCAAAGCACCGGGGGUUCGAAUCCCUCUCUCUCCG